GAUGAAGAACGCAGCGAAAUGCGAUAAGUAAUGCGAAUUGCAGAAUUCCAGUGAGUCAUCGAAUCUUUGAACGCACAUUGCGCCCUUUGGUAUUCCGAAGGGCAUGCCUGUUCGAGCGUCAUUAUCACCCCUCAAGCCCUCGGCUUGGUGUUGGACGGUUUGGUGGAGGCCCCCUCGGGGGCUCCUGCCCCUCCCAAAGACAAUGACGGCGGCCUCGUUGGACCCCCGGUACACUGAGUUCUUCACGGGACACGUAUCGGACACAUGGGUUUACGGGACACGGUCUGCCUCCCCUCAGGGAGAAUCUCUCUAAGGUUGACCUCGGAUCAGGUAGGGAUACCCGCUGAACUUAAGCAUAUCAAUAAGCGGAGGA
rnacentral:misc_RNA from 1 species